GAAGGCGCGCUUACCAUGCAGUCGAGCGGGGAAUGUAGCUUGCUACAUUACCUAGCGGCGGACGGGUGAGUAAUGCUUAGGAAUCUGCCUAUUAGUGGGGGACAACAUUCCGAAAGGAAUGCUAAUACCGCAUACGUCCUACGGGAGAAAGCAGGGGACCUUCGGGCCUUGCGCUAAUAGAUGAGCCUAAGUCGGAUUAGCUAGUUGGUGGGGUAAAGGCCUACCAAGGCGACGAUCUGUAGCGGGUCUGAGAGGAUGAUCCGCCACACUGGGACUGAGACACGGCCCAGACUCCUACGGGAGGCAGCAGUGGGGAAUAUUGGACAAUGGGGGGAACCCUGAUCCAGCCAUGCCGCGUGUGUGAAGAAGGCCUUUUGGUUGUAAAGCACUUUAAGCGAGGAGGAGGCUACUAGUAUUAAUACUACUGGAUAGUGGACGUUACUCGCAGAAUAAGCACCGGCUAACUCUGUGCCAGCAGCCGCGGUAAUACAGAGGGUGCGAGCGUUAAUCGGAUUUACUGGGCGUAAAGCGUGCGUAGGCGGCUGAUUAAGUCGGAUGUGAAAUCCCUGAGCUUAACUUAGGAAUUGCAUUCGAUACUGGUCAGCUAGAGUAUGGGAGAGGAUGGUAGAAUUCCAGGUGUAGCGGUGAAAUGCGUAGAGAUCUGGAGGAAUACCGAUGGCGAAGGCAGCCAUCUGGCCUAAUACUGACGCUGAGGUACGAAAGCAUGGGGAGCAAACAGGAUUAGAUACCCUGGUAGUCCAUGCCGUAAACGAUGUCUACUAGCCGUUGGGGCCUUUGAGGCUUUAGUGGCGCAGCUAACGCGAUAAGUAGACCGCCUGGGGAGUACGGUCGCAAGACUAAAACUCAAAUGAAUUGACGGGGGCCCGCACAAGCGGUGG
rnacentral:rRNA from 1 species